AUUGAACGCUGGCGGCAUGCCUAACACAUGCAAGUCGAGCGAGCGGCGGACGGGUGAGUAAUGUAUGGGGAUCUGCCUGAUGGAGGGGGAUAACUACUGUAAACGGUGGCUAAUACCGCAUACCAUCAGAUGAACCCAUAUGGGAUUCGCUUGUUGGUGGGGUAAUGGCUCACCUAGGCGACGAUCCCUAGCUGGUCUGAGAGGAUGAUCGGCCAAACUGGGACAGAGACACGGACCAGCGUCCUAGGGGAGGACGCGGUGGGGAAGAGUGCACUAUGGGCGAAAGCCUGAUGCAGUCAUGCAGCGAGUAUGAAGAAGGCAUUCGGGUUGUAAAGUACUUAAAGUCGGUAGGCGUUACCUGCAGAAGAAGCACCGGCUAACUCCGUGCCAGCAGCCGCGGUAAUAC
rnacentral:rRNA from 1 species